rnacentral:tRNA from 1 species
GGAAAGUUGGUCGAGCGGUUUAAGGCAUACGCUUGGAAAGCGUACGGGUUGUUAAAGGCCCCGGGGGUUCGAAUCCCCCACUUUCCG